UACGGAGGGUGCGAGCGUUGUCCGGAAUCACUGGGCGUAAAGGGUGCGUAGGCGGGUCUUUAAGUCAGAGGUGAAAUCCUGGAGCUCAACUCCAGAACUGCCUUUGAUACUGAAGAUCUUGAGUUCGGGAGAGGUGAGUGGAACUGCGAGUGUAGAGGUGAAAUUCGUAGAUAUUCGCAAGAACACCAGUGGCGAAGGCGGCUCACUGGCCCGAUACUGACGCUGAGGCACGAAAGCGUGGGGAGCAAACAGG
rnacentral:rRNA from 1 species